CGUAAAGGUGCAUGAGUGGUGUUUGGUUUGUUACGGGUGGUUGGCUCUUUGCUUGCGCAACAACUUCUACCUGGCAUACCUUUUCAUUCUUGUGUCAAUGCUUGUAUUGCAUUGAAUGCAUGGUGGGUUUCUUGUGUUGCAUGCCUAAUUAAUGGUAUCGCUUGAUGAUUUUGUAUUCCUUUUGUCUUGUGUCGCCUAUGCGAUGUGAGAUGAACCUUGAAGCAGCCUUUGUGAUCCACUCUUUUGAUGCAUACGCAUUGAUUUUGUGGCCCAUUGAGUGUUGCUUGGUAACAUGGAUAUGGAACCUGGUGUGGGCAUGGAAUCUUAAUGGUUCCUUGUUUGCCCAAGUUUAGCUUUUCUAAAACGAUUGUCU
rnacentral:misc_RNA from 1 species